AUCAUGGGAGGAGAUAACAAUUCAUUAUUUUUGCAAAAUUAUUUUACCAACAAAAGAACUUAGCCAAAUUUUGGAGAGAAAAGCCCUCUUCUUGCUUGAUUUUUGGAUUUUGAAGAAUGAAUUAGUUUGUAAGGUAGAUUUGAAUGGGGUUUGUUGCAUUGGAAUAGGAAUUGGGAAGUCUUCAAUUUUGUCCAAGAAUUGUACAAAUUCGUUUGGUAUGUUGGGAGUACUUUGCAUUUUCAUUUUGAAGAAAAAUGAGGUAGAACUUCUCAUAUCUUCUUCAUUUCUUCAUCUUUUGAAUUAAAAUUUGUUGAAAUUUGAUUUUAGUGUGGUUUUAAGCAUUCUCCCUCAAAUAUUUUCAUUUGAAUGAUUAUAUUAUUGGAAUAUUUCAUAUUUGGACAAGCAUGGGUUUAUAUGGGGAAAUGUUGCUAAACUUUCAUUGGAUUAUGGGAAGGGAAUUUUAAAUGCAUUUUUGUUUUGUUGGCUACAUGGAGACCAAUGGGUUCUCUCAGAUUUUAGUUUUGAGUAUUUUGGAUUUUUAAGCUUUUUUUUGGUCCAUUAAUGGAGGAUGGCCUCUUGGAUUGGUUUUUAUUCAAAAAGUGUAAUUUGAGUGUUAUGAUAUUAUAGUUUAAUGUGGAUUUAUAUUAUAAAUUAUUUUAUUUGGUUGGAUUUGAGUUUGUCUUCAUAUGGUUAUGGUCAUGCUAAGAUAAACUUAUAAUUAACUAAAAGGGGUUAAUCAAUUUUAGUAAAAUGAUGUGUAAUUCAUGUACCUUAAGUAUAUAGUUUCAAUUUUAAUGCAACUAAAUAAAUCAUUAUAGAUUCUUUAAUCUAUCUAAAAAUUUAUGGAAAAAAGGAUUAAUAUCAAUCUAAGAAAUUAGCUUCAAUGUCAUCUACACAAUUAUUGACAUGAAAUAGUGGAUAUAGGCAACUAUAUAAUAUCAUCAUUUGAUGCCCUACUUGUAGUGUGGAUAUUAAGAACAAGGAUAGAUAAAUACAGAGGUACUUAAGUCAAAGUUGUUCUUCUAGUGUUUGAUUCAAGAGUACUUUGUGUCAGUUAAUGAUGAACAACUCAUUUAGACUUUAAGGUAGGGGACAUAGAUUAAAGUAUCAUUCCAAGGUAAAAUUAUAUUACAAUGAUUCAUGAACAUGCUCAUUAUCAUAUAUAUUUGGAUAUCUUUAUCUUAUCAAGUAUUUUUCUAUUAUUGACCCAUGAGGAGUUGAGAAUUAAUUAGUAUUUGAAUCUUGCAUGGUCCCAAGUUAUUUUGUAAAGAUUAAUGUUCACCUAUGGUUUUAUAUGCUUAUACAUGCUUCCUAUGUUGGCAUUUGAUCAUUUGGUCAACCAAUAAUAUAAUGUUUUGAUGCAACCAAUACUUGUUUGUAGAUGAAAAGAGGUUAGAUUUAUGUAUGAUGACUAUUUUGUAUGUUUUCAUUGAUGACAACUAUGUUUAUUUAAGUCAUCUAAGUCCUACAGUUCAAUCGGCUAAACUUAACCGGUAAAGCAGAGACAGUUUCAUCAAAACCGAUAAUUAGGACUUCAACCGGUAAAUGACACAGUGUUACAUUCCGACAACCAGUACAUGAAAAUCAUGAAGAUUGAGAUGAUGUGAUUUUAAAGCAGCAUUGAAGAUUAUCAUAUGAAGAUAUGUUAGUGACUGCAUGUGCUGAAUUGAUCAGGUGAACGAUAUUUGCUUGACAUAAUAGAUUAGUGGAUGGAGACUUAACCGGUAGAGAUGAAAAUCACCCAGAUCGGUAAAACCACACAAAAUUGGAUUUGUUAUGUCGAUGGCCGACAUAACUAAAGCGUACAAUGCAAUAUUGUCUAGUGCAUUGAACCUAGAGAAUUAUAAUAAGGUUCUAGGUGAUGAGCAAAUUUUGUAUUUUUGAUAGUGCGAAGAUCAAAGGAGUUGAGAGAUGAAGUCUUUGUGAUGUUGUAAUAUUCUGAAGUGGAUCUUAUCAGACACAGAAGGUGUUAUACUGAGAUCAUUUGUACUUGUUGUCUUCCUAAUAGUUGUAGCAAGAAAAUCCUCUUACAAGGUCACUCCUAACAGGGUGCAGUCAGAUCCUAACAACUCCAAUCAUUAAAUCCUCUAACCAGGUGACACGUUAACUUGUGUUUGAAAAUCCUAGUAACUUGGGUAGCUCCUAACAAGGCUGGCCCUCAUGGGACUUUUUGUAAAGCUCUUAACUAGGCUUAGACACUUCUAACAAGGUGUGCCCCUAAUCGGGUGCUGUAGACCUUAACCGUUUAGAUCUCUAUACUGCAGAUAGUGGAUCUUGUGGGUACUAACUCCCACCAUUGUUUUUCCCAUUUGGGUUUUCCAUGUAUAAACUCUUGUGUCAUGUGGUUUCUGCUUUAUGUGGUGAUUGCAUACUUGGUGUUAUUUCUUGCAUGUCUAUUGAAUUUCAAGUUGGUGAAACUGAUAUUUAGUUUUGUAUUGUUUUUACUAUCAUCGAUUCACCCCCCCCCCUCUCAGUGCCUUAUAAGUUCGUCAUCCUCAAUAUUUUAUGCUCUCUCUCUCAUGCAUGUUUGGAAGAUGAAUGAGACAUUUUGUUGGAUGAUUAAACUCAAAAAAGAAUGUAAAAAUUGGCAUGAUAGAGUUGGUUUGAUAUUGUUUUAAAUGCUUGACUUAUAUUGAUUUGGAUGCUUGAUCCAUGCCUUCUUAGGUGAUCAAGGGAUUGAUGUUCAUGUUGUGAGAAAAUGGGAGAGAUGCAAAUGUGUGUAAUGAAAGUCAAAUGUGAUUGAUGCCUUGUGUGUAAUCAUGUGAUUGUAUUUGAUCUCUUAGUAUAUGUGUACUAAUUGAUUCACUAUGUUUCACACUCUCUUCCUGUAGCAUCCUAAAAUUGUGACACUUGCAAUUUCGACCGCAUUUCAGUCUUCACGAUGGCGAUGCAACACUAAACCUGAAUGGAGACCCCGAAACUUGUCCACGACACCAAAAACUGCAUUUUUCCAGUACCCUGCCUGAUCCCUCCUUGCACCCUGCUAUCCCGGGAGGUGGGACCAGAGCGCCCAGCGCCCUGGUCCUUCAGGACAAGGGCGUCCAACGCCCUGGUCCCUGGCCCUAUUUUGGGCCCGGUCUCCUAUGGGGCUUCGGGUCUUUUUGUUUGCAAAUUGGAAAAUAACAUUUCUUGGUCGGCCUAAGGUCGGGAAAAUCAGUCUAUCAGCCCUAAUUGACAAGUAUAUAAACUACAUUUUCCUCUCCCAUUUAGAGAGAUGAAAAAAAGGCGGAAGCGAUAUUCAAACAUUCAAGCAUUCAAGCAUUCAAGCAUUCCUUCAAGCAAUUGAUCAUUCUAAGUCUCCAUUCAAGGCUAAGUGUUGCAUUCAAGACAAGGAUUCAACCAUUGAAGAGGAGAUCACAUACUACAACAUACAACAUACAACAACAUCUAUACCUUCGCACAUAAGGAUACAAACAUCCUUACAACAAGGUAUUAGUACUUGUUUUGCAUUACAAUCAUUUACAUUUACAACAUUUCUCAUUUCUUGGUUAAUUCCAAAACCAGGGUUUGACCUAAGGGCAAACCCCUAAUCCCUAACCCCCCAAUCGUCUUCGCUUUUCUGUGUGUAGGUUGCAGGUACACGGCUGAAAUUGAAGAUCUGGAAUCCUUGUGCAAAGACGAACAGAUCCUCCUUCAUUUUGCGGAUUUUUCGGAGGACCGUGUGCACGUCGAGCGCCAUCGUCCCGUCAACUUUUGCUCAAAUUUGUAGGACAGCGCCGUAUCAACAUUUUACUGCUAAUUCCAGGGUCAACAGUUCUUUGUGUCAGAAAGAACUUCAGAGAAGCACAAUUGCUUUGUGGUUGGGCAAAAAGGCACUCUGGCAAUGUUCUUGCCCAUGGUGUGGUUGUGGGAGAUAGAUGUCAAAAUCUCUUAUUAAGAUUAUCAUCAGCUAUAUGCAAUAUGUAUUUUUAUAAUCAACCUUAUAAAUGAAAUAAUUUCCUUAUGCUUGACUA